CGUGUCCCGGCUGUGCCGCCAGGUGCAGCGCCGGGUAGCGAUGAUCGGCAAGGAUAACCGCUGAAAGCAUCUAAGUGGGAAGCCCACCUCAAGAUGAGUACUCUCACUACUAAAAGUAGGUAAGGUCACAGGAAGAAUACCUGUUAAUAGGUGCUAGGUGGAAGUGCAGCAAUGCAUGCAGCCGAAGCAUACUAAUAGACCGAGGGCUUGACUUC
rnacentral:rRNA from 1 species